ACUUGUGGCCAAACCUCCUUGAUCUCGGUUGAUCUCAGAAACUAAGCAGGGUUGAACCUGGUUAGUACUUGGAUGGGAGACUGCUGAGAAUACCAGGUGCAAAAGUU
rnacentral:rRNA from 1 species